rnacentral:rRNA from 1 species
AACGAACGCUGGCGGCAUGCCUAACACAUGCAAGUCGAACGAGACCUUCGGGUCUAGUGGCGCACUGGUGCGUAACGCGUGGGAACCUGCCCUUAGGUUCGGAAUAACUCCCCGAAAGGGGUGCUAAUACCGGAUAAUGUCUUCGGACCAAAGAUUUAUCGCCUUUGGAUGGGCCCGCGUUGGAUUAGCUAGUUGGUAGGGUAAAAGCAUACCAAGGCGACGAUCCAUAGCUGGUCUGAGAGGAUGAUCAGCCACACUGGGACUGAGACACGGCCCAGACUCCUACGGGAGGCAGCAGUGGGGAAUAUUGGACAAUGGGCGAAGGCAUGAUCCAGCAAGGACGCGUGAGUGAUGAAGGCAUUAGGGUUGUAAAGCUCUUUUACCCGGGAUGAUAAUGACAGUACCGGGAGAAUAAGCUCCGGCUAACUCCGUG